CAUGCUCGAACCAAGCAUGGACGACAGACAGUACGGUGCUGUUCCUCCUCCAGGUGGCAAUAUGCAAGGACAGUCGUUUGCCGAAGCGCUGCGAAAAGCCAGAGAAAUUGCAAAGUCAAUGGCAGAAACGGCAGAAAAUUCAAGAAAGAGACAUCUUGACGAACCUCCAGAUUCACCUCCGUCAAAGUACUAUGCCAGUUCUAGUGUAGGAGGUAGGAUAGAUCCACAAAGAGCCAUUGCUGAGGCACGGGCAAAGGCAGCAGCAUUUGUUGCUCAGAGUAGGCAACAGUACGGCAUGGGUGGAGUUGUGACAAACGACAUCUUAAUACCGAACAAGUGUGUUGGACUUGUGAUUGGAAGAGGAGGAGACGUAAUUUCACGGUUACAAGCAGAAUCAAUGGCGAACAUUCAAGUAGCAUCUGAUGGAAUACCUACACCACACGACAGACAAAUAACAAUAACAGGAACACCCGAAUCAGUGAAUAAAGCAGAGGCAUUAAUACAUGACAUUGUAAAAGAGAAGGAAGGUGGAGUAGUGGGACAAAAUGAAGUGUGCACAGAAGAAAUCAUGAUUCCUGGCCCUAAAGUUGGAAUGGUGAUUGGUAAAGGAGGAGAGACAAUCAAGAGAAUGCAGGACGCCCUUGGUUGUAAGAUUGUAAUAAUCCAGGACUCUCACUCGGUAGGAGCUUCACCAAAGCCUCUUCGGAUAAUGGGCUCAUCAGAGUCUGUUGCAAGGGCAAAGAAAAUGGUGGAAGACGUUCUUGACUCGGUUGAUGGUGGCCAUGGGCAAGUUACGAUUAGCGUACCUGUACCAAGUGACAUGGUUGGAAUGAUAAUUGGAAAGCAGGGCGAGAACAUUCGACGGAUACAGAUGGACACUAACACUAAAAUACAGUUUGCGGAAGAGAACAGUAGCGGUUUUCGGACUGCUCUCUUGUCGGGUCCAGAGUCAGGAGCUAGACAUGCUGAAAGUAUGGUCAAAGAUAUGAUUGCCGCUCGGGCACAAGACAAAUCUGGUCGGAAUCCACCCGGUGUUCAGACUGUUAAAGUUGGAGUUCCUCACACGAGGACUGGCGUAGUCAUCGGAAAGGGUGGGGAGACUAUUCGUCUCUUACAGCAACAAUCGGGAGCACACAUUGAACUUGAUAGAAACGAAGAGCUAGGCCAGACUGAGAAGUUCUUUAUUGUCCGAGGCACUGAUGACCAGAUAGCUCGAGCGAAACAGCUCAUCAAGGAAAAGACAGACCCUGAAGGAGUCGCACCACCUACAACUGGUCAAGAAGGCUACCAGGCAACUGCUGCUGCAGGAGGCUACAGUCAAGAUCAAAUGACUGCAUAUCAAAUGUGGUAUGCACAAUAUGCUGCAGCAGCUGCAGCAGCGGCAAGCGGCGGUACAACUGGACAGUCAACGGAUGCUACUCAGGCAGCAUGGUCCGCUUACUACCAACAGUAUUUUAAUCAAAUGGCUGGUGGUGCUACUCAGGCACAAGCAUCUAGUGGUGCCACUGGAGAUCAGAGUUCAGAUAAGCAGCAGCAAACAGCGGAAGGUCAGCCUGAUUACACUGCUCAGUGGGCUGAGUACUACAGACAGAUGGGCUACACAUGGCCACAACAACAAACCGGACAAGCUCAGCAGCCUGCUGUGUCUCAACCAGGUGCACAACAAACAACUCAGCAGCAGAUGCCGCAGCAGCAACAGCAGAUGCCAGCGCAACAGCAAAUGCAACAACAAUUGCAGCAACAGCAAAUGACUCAGCAGCAACAGCAAAUGACUCAACAGCAAAUGCCGAUGCAGCCGAUGUUGCAGCAGUCGAUGCCGCAGCAACAAAUGCCACAGCAGCAAAUGCAACAGCAACAGAUGCAACAGCAGCAAAUGGCGCAGCAGCAACAAAUGGCACAGCAGCAACAAAUAGUGCAACAGCAAAUGCCACAGCAGCCGAUGCCACAGCAGCAAAUGGGACUACAGCUACCUCCACAGCAGAGGCCACUGCAACCGACACCACAGAUGCCACAACAACAAAUGCCACUGCAGCCCAAUAUGCCUCGGCACAUGGCAAUGCAAUCGCCGAUGCUAGCUCAAUCACGUGGCUUUCCACAGGGUCGUCCUGGCAUGAUGCCGGUACCACAACCACCCCCGCCCGGGGCAAUGUAAGGUGUGUUUGAUUUUUAAUCUGUUGAUUUUGUUGCUUGUGGGUGGUGCCUUACAUAUUGAUGCUGCUGGUGGGUUAUUGUGCAUUUUUGUAUGUCAUGUGGGUGUGGGCAGGUAAACAGUCGCUGUUGGCAGGUGUAGCAGUGAAAUCCGGCUCCCUUGGUUUGUGCUUCGAUUUAACAGUUUGUUAUUUGAUUUAGUGGUCUCGCUUGUCGCUGCAUGCUUGCGUUUGACAGGUUAGGACUGAAGGUUUGACAUGGCUUGACUGUCUUCCACAGGAACAUGAAGUGCAUCUUGUUGAAUACAGAGGUACGAGUAGAGUAGUAAAUCAACACACAUCCUUCAACGGUAUUGUGAUAUUGUUCUUGUUGUUGGAUCUGCAUUAUUGCUGUUGUACAUGAUCCUGUAUGAUGCGUUGAUGUUCAUGAUCAUGUUGGUAGUAUGGGGUUCGUGUGUACGUAGUUGAGUAGGUACUGAAGAUGCAUUUGUCAGUCAGUUGGAGACCGAACGAAGUACAUUGUUUUACUGCGUGGCCAAGUGAGAGAUAUCUGGCCUGUAGUCAGAUACGUCAGACGAUUGUAGUUUCCUUGAAUGUCCGUAAACGCUCGCAUCUCAGAGGAUGACCGAAAUGUCAGCUAUUGUAGUUUGAUCGUUGAUGAAGACUGGCAGAUAAUGAUAUAUUGUCGGUACAUGAUGGAAUGGACUAUGCACGAACCAGUUUGUUUCAUGCAGAGCUGCUGUUUCUGUGAGACUUUGUGCUCGAGGAGCUUUUGUGUACAUUUUAUGUUUGCACAUCAAAGUUGAGUAUGGAGUAAUAACGUUGUGUUUUUGUUAUGAAAUUGAACACACAAUGUACGUACUGGGAUAUGAUAGGUUUGUAGUCAUUUUGGCAGCUACUGUUGGUUCUAGACAGACCCACAAAGGUGCCUGUUUGUCUAGAGGCUUCUAACACAUUCUACUACUAAAGUCAGUGUCCUCUGCUGAAGUCUGCAGGUGUAGUGCCUUACAAUGAAAGGCAGAGCUGCAUGCCCUUGAUUAACAUGCUCGCUGUUGGUAGAUAGAAUAAUGUGCCUGCAUUUAUAGUCUAUUAUAAAUUUUCUUUUGCCUGACCUACAUU